rnacentral:rRNA from 1 species
GAUGAACGCUGGCGGCGUGCCUAAUACAUGCAAGUCGAGCGAACGGACGAGAAGCUUGCUUCUCUGAUGUUAGCGGCGGACGGGUGAGUAACACGUGGAUAACCUACCUAUAAGACUGGGAUAACUUCGGGAAACCGUAGCUAAUACCGGAUAAUAUUUUGAACCGCAUGGUUCAAAAGUGAAAGACGGUCUUGCUGUCACUUAUAGAUGGAUCCGCGCUGCAUUAGCUAGUUGGUAAGGUAACGGCUUACCAAGGCAACGAUGCAUAGCCGACCUGAGAGGGUGAUCGGCAACACUGGAACUGAGACACGGACCAGACUACUACGGGAGGCAGCAGUAGGGAAUCUUACGCAAUGGGCGAAAGCCUGACGGAGCAACGCCGCGUGAGUGAUGAAGGUCUUCGGAUCGUAAAACUCUGUUAUUAGGGAAGAACAUAUGUGUAAGUAACUGUGCACAGCUUGACGGUACCUAAUCAGAAAGCCACGGCUAACUACGUG